ensembl:lncRNA
AUUUAUAGAUUGUGGAAUUUGGGGGGAGGAAGGCACAUCAGCCUGUUUUUGAGCCACGGCUUGGAAGAUGCCGUUUACUGCGUUUGUGCUGAGGCUCUGUCUUUGCUCCUCCUCAACAAAGGAUUUGAGAAAUCUGGCCCAACAAAGGAGACCUUCAGCUGAUCCCCUUCCGCUCUCCCGCACCUCAGCCCCUCCCCAAGCCGCGCACCGGAUGACGGCGACAGCCUUUUCCAGAGAGUCCCAGCGCAGAGACAGACUUUUAAAAACAAGAUUCUGCCCCAGCAGAAAACAAGCAGGCCUUUCCCCAAAACCUUCCUCAGGCUCUUAGUUCUUCACACGCAUGAGAACUUGCAGGAGGAAAGGUUGACCGCAACCCCUAGGGCAGCAUUUUGAGAAAAUAGUAGGAACUGUACAAGGAGUCCAAAUACACAUUUUUAAGAGGCUCUGGUAUGUGGUUUCCAGGAAGCUGGUCUUUGACCUCGAACAUGUGGGCACGUUUCCCAGGACGCAUGUGCAGCUUCUAGGACGGAGAUGCCACCAGCCUUGGGAACGAAGGGUGGUCCACCCGGGGCUCCUUAAAAAUUACGUUAAGGCCCCAGCUGUAAUGGGCAGAAGUCAGAGGUCUGAGGGCAGACCGCAGUUCCACCCGCUUCCCAUCAAGCAGGGGGACGUGGCGCUGCCUAGAAACAGGGAACAGCAGCUCAGAAUUAAAUCAACCCAGCAUCCUGCAGCUCAAACGACACAAGUCCUACAAAUAGACCCGCUGCACACGAGGAUGGCUCCUGAAAACGUUGGGGGCGUAAGCCUUCUGAGGCAAGGACUUCAGCUGGGCUCCACACCAUUUGCUUGCCUUUUGCACCGCCCUCGCUCGCAGGGACUGGGGGCCGUCUUGCUCGACGACGUGGUUGGGCUGAGAUGCGUCCUCUCAAAAGAACAGAGCACCUCUCACUCACAUCACAAACGCAUCGAUGAAAGGUGA